rnacentral:rRNA from 1 species
GCAGUCGACGCUAGUCGCGGACCUGAUCACUUCGGUGAGACGUAAAGCAUAUGGCUAGAGUGGCGAACGGGUGAGUAACACGUGGACAACCUGCCUCUAAGCAGGGGAUAACAUUUGGAAACAGAUGCUAAUACCGUAUAACAACACAUUUCGCAUGAAGUGUGUUUAAAAGGGGCUUCGGCCUCACUUAGAGAUGGAUCCGCGGUGCAUUAGUUAGUUGGUGAGGUAAAGGCUUACCAAGACGAUGAUGCAUAGCCGAGUUGAGAGACUGAUCGGCCACAUUGGGACUGAGACACGGCCCAAACUCCUACGGGAGGCUGCAGUAGGGAAUCUUCCACAAUGGGCGCAAGCCUGAUGGAGCAACGCCGCGUGUGUGAUGAAGGCUUUCGGGUCGUAAAGCACUGUUGUAUGGGAAGAAUAGUUAAUGUAGGAAAUGAUGUUAAUGUGACGGUACCAUACCAGAAAGGGACGGCUAAAUACGUGCCAGCAGCCGCGGUAAUACGUAUGUCCCGAGCGUUAUCCGGAUUUAUUGGGCGUAAAGCGAGCGCAGACGGUUCGUUAAGUCUGAAGUGAAAGCCCACAGCUCAACUGUGGAAUGGCUUUGGAAACUGGCGAACUUGAGUGCAGUAGAGGCAAGUGGAACUCCAUGUGUAGCGGUGGAAUGCGUAGAUAUAUGGAAGAACACCAGUGGCGAACGCGGCUUGCUGGACUGUAACUGACGUUGAGGCUCGAAAGUGUGGGUAGCAACAGGAUUAGAUACCCUGGUAGUCCACACCGUAGACGAUGAGUGCUAGUGUUAGGAGGUUUCUGCUCUAGUGCAGAGCUACGCAUAAGCACUCGCCUGGGGAGUACGACCGCAGAUGAACUCAAUGGA